GACCCCCUAGCGGAGCGGUAGCGCAUCACCUAGGAAUUCAUUUCUUCCUGGUCCAGGUUUAAGGUGAAGGCGCCGGUUCGACUCCGGCGGGGGUCA